AGUGUCUCACGGCUCCAAGUUUUGAAUUAUUCCAACCCAUCUCACUCCUUUAUUGUUUGGCUUUUAGUUUUGUGGUUACUAAUAUUGGAUUAUUUUAUUGACUUAGACUCAACUACUAUACACUGUCGACAUACAAUUCUAAGGCCUCCCACAUUGACUUUAUUGUCUUCCAAUUUCUUGGAAAUUACAAGGAACUUGUCUCAAACUAUCACUAAGUUAACUUCAAAGUCAAAGUCAACCUUCCUCAUUCUCCUUCAUAAAUUGAUAGUGGUAAUGUUGAACUUUGAUGUUAGAUUUCUAUUAUUGAACCAAAUGGGUUAUUGA